GUGAACAGCUGCUGCUCGUUUUCACCAUUCACGUCCCCUUUCUGGAACAGCUGGAAGUUUGGCACAAACCCAUUGCCGGGACGGAUAUACCUGCGACCAAAUGGCAACAAAUUAGUUGUUGGGGUGAAAGGAAAACAUUUAAGGCUGGAGCUUCAAGCUAUGGCAUUGCCCACUAAGAACCCUGACACACCCAGCAACCUUUAGAAAUCACACCGCUCCUGUCUCUCCUGCUGGAUAUGGGCGCUCUCCAGCACCUUCCUCCAAGAUGCUGCCAGGUCAGCUGAGUUUUUUUUCAGCACUUUAUUUUUAUUCCAUUGGCUGGAGGAUUGGUAACAGGACACAGAAAGGGAGGUGAGAAGAAUUUUUAAACGCAGCAAGUUGUCAUGAUCUGAAACACACUGUCUGAAAGCAGGUUGAGAGCAACUUCCAAAAGGAAGGUGGAUAAAUAUUUGAAAACAAAACAUUUGCAGGGUUAUGGCGAAUGACCUGGCACAGGCACAAUGGACCCAAUGUUCUCCUUCUGUGCUGCACGAUUCUAUAGACUGCAACAUCUGGCUCGGAUCUUGCCCUUACCAAGUUGUAAAAACUGCCGAACAGUGUCGUGCUUUACUUUCCAUGCCAGCAUAUAAAAAAAAAUUUGGAGGA